GGGCGAUUGGCGCAGCGGUAGCGCAGGUGCUUUACACGCACAAGGCCGGGGGUUCGAACCCCUCAUCGCCCACCA
rnacentral:tRNA from 3 species